CAAGAGCUGGAAACAAGAUCUUAGUUCCUUAUCCUGGAUAUGGAAAUAACGUCUUUAUGACAAACUGAGCACUAAACAUACAGAUACCAUGUGAUCAAACUCCUGUCACCAUGACAUCCCUGCUGUGAAAAUGUAAUCAAUUGCUGCACCAGAGAAGUCUGUAGCACCUGGACCACCUGCUCAGAGGGCAGCACUGCCAGCAAUGGGCUGGGCCCUCCCACAUCAAUCAUUAAUCAAGAAAAUGCUUCCAGACUUGCCUACAGCUACAUCUUUAAAGCUCUACCAUCCAGUGACCAAAGAGCUGAAUUGAACAAAUUGUUGAAGAGGAAAUGAAAACGAAAGGAGAGAGUUGGAGAGGCAGUUCCUCCAUGAUGCCAGAAG
rnacentral:lncRNA from 1 species